CAGCCGCCGCGGGAAUACGUAGGGUGCGAGCGUUAAUCGGAAUUACUGGGCGUAAAGCGUGCGCAGGCGGUUAUAUAAGACAGAUGUGAAAUCCCCGGGCUCAACCUGGGACCUGCACUUGUGACUGUAUAGCUAGAGUACGGUAGAGGGGGAUGGAAUUCCGCGUGUAGCAGUGAAAUGCGUAGAUAUGCGGAGGAACACCGAUGGCGAAGGCAAUUCCCUGGACCUGUGCUGACGCUCAUGCACGAAAGCGUGGGGAGCAAACAGGAUUAGAACCCCCGUAGUCCCUGUCUCUUAUACA
rnacentral:rRNA from 1 species